rnacentral:ncRNA from 2 species
AUCGUUCAUCUUUGGCAGUCGGGUGUCGUUAUAUUUGUAAUAUUCAUCUCGUAUUUCCAAGGACGGAAGUAAGGUUCAUAGCCUGAAGGAACGCAUU